UACGGAUUUAGCUUCGGCCCUAGCCCUUUUGGAAGCAGAUCUGGUAGAGCUGGAUCUUCCCGAAGUGCGGGAGCAAAUGGAAAUACUGGCUCUAGAAGCUCCAGCUCACCCUCUGCUUCCUCUAACCAGUAAUGGAUAAUCUACAAUCCUAGGCAUCUUACAGAUACCGGAGUUCCACGUAGUGGUUCCCUAAUAAUUUCAAAGGACUAGAAAUACUAUCAACGCGAUAGAUGCACACUUCGC